rnacentral:misc_RNA from 1 species
UGAACAUCUCAAAAUCAUUUUAUGAUUUUGGAUAGCUGGGUCUUUUGUUGUGUGAUAUGAGCACAACUGGCCUGAAAUUUGUGACAAACAAAAAAUGCAAGAAUUUUUGUAGAUGCUUUGUUGGCUGAAGACGAAAAGCUAAUUAGUUGACUGUGGUCAAAUUUUGCCCAAUAGUCUUCAAAAACUUGGCACAUCUACACUCACA